rnacentral:siRNA from 1 species
CGACGAUGACCAUAAAUAGUGAUG